rnacentral:rRNA from 1 species
GACAGAGGUGCCGAGCGUUAGGCGGAAUCACUGGGCUUAAAGCGUGUGUAGGCGGAUCUGUAAGUACCUUGUGAAAUCCCACGGCUCAGCCGUGGAACUGCUUGGUAUACUGCGGGUCUUGAGCCACCUAGGGGCAAGUGGAACAAGCGGUGGAGCGGUGAAAUGCGUAGAUAUCGCUUGGAACGCCAAUGGUGAAAACAACUUGCUGGGGGUGUGCUGACGCUGAGACACGAAAGCCAGGGGAGCAAACGGG